UACGUAGGGUGCGAGCGUUGUCCGGAAUUAUUGGGCGUAAAGGGCUCGUAGGCGGUUUGUCGCGUCGGGAGUGAAAAUCCAGGGCUUAACUCUGGACUGGCUUUCGAUACGGGCAGACUAGAGGUAUGCAGGGGAGAACGGAAUUCCUGGUGUAGCGGUGAAAUGCGCAGAUAUCAGGAGGAACACCAGUGGCGAAGGCGGUUCUCUGGGCAUUACCUGACGCUGAGGAGCGAAAGUGUGGGGAGCGAACAGG
rnacentral:rRNA from 1 species